rnacentral:rRNA from 1 species
GAUGAACGCUAGCGGCAAGCUUAAUACAUGCAAGUCGAGGGGCAGCAUGACUGCAGCAAUACAGUUGAUGGCGACCGGCAAACGGGUGCGGAACACGUACAGAACCUUCCUUCGAGCGGGGAAUAGCCCAGAGAAAUUUGGAUUAAUACCCCAUAGUAUUACGGAGUGGCAUCACUUUGUAAUUAAAGAUUUAUCACUUGAAGAUGGCUGUGCGGCUGAUUAGAUAGUUGGCAGGGUAACGGCCUACCAAGUCUACGAUCAGUAACUGGUGUGAGAGAACAAACAGUCACACGGGCACUGAGACACGGGCCUGACUCAUACGGGAGGCAGCAGUAAGGAAUAUUGGUCAAUGGACGAAAGUCUGAACCAGCUAUGCCGCGUGGAGGAUGAAGGCCCUCUGGGUUGUAAACUUCUUUUAUAUGGGACGAAAAAGGGCCUUUCUAGGCCAACUGACGGUACCAUGUGAAUAAGCACCGGCUAACUCCGUGCCAGCCGCCGCCGUAACAC